rnacentral:rRNA from 1 species
AUUGAACGCUGGCGGCAGGCUUAACACAUGCAAGUCGAGCGGGGAGAUGUAGCUUGCUACAUAUCCUAGCGGCGGACGGGUGAGUAAUGCUUAGGAAUCUGCCUAUUAGUGGGGGACAACAUUCCGAAAGGAAUGCUAAUACCGCAUACGCCCUACGGGGGAAAGCAGGGGAUCUUCGGACCUUGCGCUAAUAGAUGAGCCUAAGUCGGAUUAGCUAGUUGGUGGGGUAAAGGCCUACCAAGGCGACGAUCUGUAGCGGGUCUGAGAGGAUGAUCCGCCACACUGGGACUGAGACACGGCCCAGACUCCUACGGGAGGCAGCAGUGGGGAAUAUUGGACAAUGGGCGCAAGCCUGAUCCAGCCAUGCCGCGUGUGUGAAGAAGGCCUUCUGGUUGUAAAGCACUUUAAGCGAGGAGGAGGCUCCUUUAGUUAAUACCUAAAGAGAGUGGACGUUACUCGCAGAAUAAGCACCGGCUAACUCUGUG